CGGUGGCCGAGUGGUUAAGGCGUUGGA
rnacentral:piRNA from 2 species